rnacentral:rRNA from 1 species
GAACCGUCCAAACGUUUAUUCGGAAUCACUGGGCUUAAAGGGUGCGUAGGCGGCGCGGUUAGUCGGAUGUGAAAUCGUACAGCUCAACUGUACAACUGCGUCCGAAACUGCCGUGCUCGAGGAAGGCAGAGGUGAGCGGAACUCAGGGUGGAGCGGUGAAAUGCGUUGAUAUCCUGGGGAACACCGGUGGCGAAGGCGGCUCACUGGGCCUUUUCUGACGCUGAGGCACGAAAGCUAGGGUAGCGAACAGGGAUUAGAUACCCUGGUAGUCCUAGCUGUAAACGAUGAGCACUAGAUCGAGGAGACUUCCACAUCUUCUCGGUCGUAGCGAAAGUGUUAAGUGCUCCGCCUGGGAGUAUGGUCGCAAGGCUG